rnacentral:lncRNA from 1 species
GAACAACUGAAAUAUGUUCUUCAGCCUAGUGGAGACAAGUAAUUGUCAUUGGCUGGUGAGUGUUUCAGAUACUUCAAAGCAUGGGUUGUGCUUCACCCCACCCUCUCUAGCUAAACUCCUUGGCUAAUGGCCUGCAUGAUCUUAACUUCAUUCCGGAAAUACUGGUUAAGAGGAUUUGGGACAGGCCAUUUGGAGGCUGGUGAACCUGACAACUUACACAACCUACAUUUGCAAAGCCCAGUUAUUUUCUGACUAAUGGGUCAGAAAGAGGGGGCAGAAGAGGAGAGAGAAAUCUUCACCAAACAAACAGCCAGGCCAUCUGGGUGGAGUUGCUUAAGGCAGUCACAAAAAAAUGAUCACAUCAUUUACCUCUCAUUUAACAAGGGCAGAGCAGGGAUACUAGCUGUGAGACACUUCUGCUCCGGGAAAGGUAGGAGCAUUUGUACAAUCUUUCCAGUAUAGGGGAAGGGGGACAUGGGAGUAGAAGUUGGAUUGUUGAGUCACGAAGCAAAUAGGUGUCUUUUUAUUCUAAUUAACUUGAGAAAGAAAGAAUUUGGUAUUAUAUCAACCCAGCACUUAAACUUUUUACCUUCAUUGUAUAAAAACUGUUUGUGAAAAUUGUGCCACUAUGACUUACUUUUUGAUACGGAUAAUGGAGCAUUCUCUAAAGGGAGCAGAUGGAAUGAUGAGGAGGUUCAGAGUAGUGUCAAUCAUCAGGAAAGAGGGUGGCCCUGUUGGCCUGGGGGUGAGGGGAGAGGCUCUGACAAAGGUGCUCAGUCCCCAGCCAGGCUGCAUGUGGUUCUUGUCUACCUGGGUCCACCUGAAAAGACACUACCAGAUUGAUUUGGGGUGUAUCCUGGGCAGUGAGACUUUUGAAAGUGCAUUGGUUGAUUCUAAUGCACAAUCCAGUUGAGAACCACUGUUGAGGGAGCAGGGUGCCUGAAUCAUGAAAUAAAAAGAGGCUUUUUAUGGGAAAGGCUCUCUAUCUCUCUUCUUUAACACCAGGAAAGGAGCUGUAUUAGUGAUAGGAAGUGAUGGGGAAGCCAAUGGGGGCUCAAAAGAAAGAAAGCUUUGAUGCUUGGUACUGAAAUGGAAGUGGCGUGGUAAGUGGAGGAGCCCCUGAUGCUGGAAAUGAUCAAGGAGAAGGUGGACAACCAUUGACUGGGAAGGCUGAACUAGCCCAGUGAUGGCUAGAUAGUGUCAGGAGGACCAGAAGCAACCUCAAGUCCCUUCCCCUUCACUCAGGGCAGCUCAGUUUUCUCUCUUUUUCUGUAUUGGUUUGGGUUUCCCCAUAAAGAUUUCCUUUGAAGAAAGAGUCUGCUCAAAAAAACUUUUAAAACCACAUAACUAGUUGACCUUUAUGGCUAUUACCAAUCUGAAGUUCUGUAGCAUUAAAUCUUCUUUGAUGUUUUCUAAGAAACCAGGCUACUGAUUGAUCCAUUCUUCCAAAGGCCAAGGGGGAAAGGAAGGAGAGCUUACAAGGGUGGAAAGCAUGAGUAGAAGAGGGGAGACUUCUCUUAGCUGAGGGCCAGGGCAGGAGCCCUUAACCCUGUCUAGGCUUGGAACCACCUGGGAACUUUUCAGUAAGACACCCUCCCAAAGCAGUGAUAUCAGUCUCUGGGGAUGGUGCCUGGGCGUGGGUAUUCAUGAAAUGCAGCAGAGUUGAGAACCACUGGCUUAAUAGAUGGGCACUGAGGAGAACUCUUUUUAUACAUUGAGGCCAAACAUGUUAGACAACCACGAACACGGCAGUUCUUAAACUUCAGCUGCAUCAGAAUCACCUAGGCUUGUUCAGACAGAUCACUGGGCUCCACCCCCAGAGUUUCUGAUUUAGUAGGCCUGUGAUAAAGCCAAGAAUUUGCAUUUUUAACAAGUUCCAGGUGAUGCUGACACUGCUGAUCUGGGGGACCACACUUUGAGAACCACUGCUUUAACAAUAGGAAUUUACUUUUGACCUUAAAAACAACUCCCUAACAUUGGCAAGCGAUUGAUAGUGUGCACCCUUGAUGAUAUGAUAUAAUGAGAAUGGCACUUUGCCUCUGUGGUCUCCCUCCCAUUAAAUGCAUUAACUCAGUCUAAUCAUGAGUAAAACAUCAGACAAAACCCAAUGGAAGGACAUUCUACAACAUACCUGACCAGUAAUCCUCAAAACUAUCAAGGUCAGCAAAGCCAAGGAAAGUCUAAGAAACUGCCACAGCUAAGAGGAGCCUAAGGAGACAUGACUACUAAAUACAAUGUGGUAUCCUGCAUGGAAUCCUGGAAUAGAAAAAGCACAUUAGGGGCAGGGCACGGUGACUCACACCUGUAAUCCCAGCACUUUAGGAGGCUGAGGCAAGCAGAUCACUUGAGGUAAGGAGUUUGAAACCAGCCUGGCCAAGAUGGUGAAACCCCAUCUCUGCUAAAAAUACGAAAAUUAGCUGGGUGUAUUGGCGGGCGCCUGUGAUCCCAGCUACUUGGGAGGCUGAGGCAGAAGAAUCACUUAAACCCAGGAGGUGGAGGCUGCAGUGAGCCGAGAUCGUGCCACUGCACUCCAGCCUGGGCAACAGAGUGAGACUCCAUCUCAAAAAAGAAAAAGGAAAAAAGACAUUAGGGAAAAGCUGAGGAAAUAAUGUAUCAAUACUGAUUCAUUGGUCAUGACAAAGGUACCAUAUUAAUGUAAUAUGUUAACAAUAGGGGAAACUCAGUAUUAGGUAGGGAGCGCUCUGUACCAUUACUGCACUAAUUACAUUACUGCACUAAUUACAUUAAUUCUGUAAUUUUAAAACCAUUCUAAGAUAAGCAGUUUAUUUGAAAAAAAAAAAAAAAAAAAAAAAAAAAAAAGAACUUCCUGACUGCUGAAAUACAGACCGUUCCUGAUUGUGGUUAUGGAGGAGGUGUCUUCAAAAGCAUCAAGGAAAAAAUAUCAAAUAAUUGUAUUUGUUUGACUGAAGACUUAUCUGGAUACAGGAGGCCUCCCGAGUAGCUGGGACUACAGGCACCUGCCACCAUGCGGGGCUAAUUUUUUGUAUUUUUAGUAGAGACCGGGUUUCACCAUGUUAGCCAGGAUGGUCUCAAUCUCCUGUCCUUGUGAUCCGCCCGCCUUGGGCUCCCAAAGUGCUGGGAUUACAGGCAUGAGCCACCGUGCCUGGCCUGAUUCAAGUUUGAAUAUAUCCGUGGAGCACUGUGUGCUCACGGCAGAUGAGGGUAGAGGUGAGAAGACCCAACAACUCUUUGGAUAUCCACGUGUUAACCAGCCAGGCAUUUACAUUGUUUCCCUAACUUGGCUUCAGUUCCCCUCAGCCUUUUGAGUGUUGGUCGCUGAUCGUGGUUAUGGAGGAGGUGUCUUCAAAAGCAUCAAGGAAAAAAUAUCAAAUAUUUUGAUAUUUGAUAUCAAAUAUCAAAAUUUGCCAUGGUGCCCAGCAUGGUUCAAGAUCAUAAGUGUCAAGCACAUCAGGUAAGGAAGAUAAUAAUAAUUCAAGGGCAAAUGAAUUGCCCCAUGGACAGUGAAUUACAGUAUGCUACAAUGGAUUUGUUUGGACCAUUUAUCUUUUCUUUUGAAUUGACUUAACUGUACAUUUGUAGGAGAUAAGCAGGAAAUCAGAAGCACUCCUAGGGAUUGGCACUGGUCUAAAUGACAGCCCUAAGGAGGAGCUUAGAUACCAGAUUCAUCCUCCAUCCAGGCAGAAGCUCCCCAGGGAUAAAACUGCAAGGUUAAAUGUGAAACUCAAAAUUUGAAGCAAAAGCCUCUCCUCUUCUGCACUUCUUUUCUUCCUAAGUUGAGCAGUAAUACUAGAAACAGAGUCAAUUGAACCUGAAUAGCUCCUCUGGGGUACCAGGCAUCAUUCUAAGGAACUCGUUUCAUCCUCACAGAGGCACAGAUGGGGUAUGUAACUUGCCAAAGCUCACACUGCUUGGAGUAGAGUCAGGAUUCUAAUCUGGCUUGUCUGGCUCCAGAGCCCACGUUCUAAACCAUUAGGCUCAUUCUGCCUCUCUUGGAGAAGACACAAGAAGUCCCAGUCUUGGCUAGCCUGGCUAGUUCCAGAGACCUCCAUAGCUAAACAAGGUGUAGAAAUAGAAUGUCCCGUCACUUAGCUAUACUUCUAUCCUUCCCACCUUCUACACAACUACCAUUACCAUUGCCACCAGCAACUGGUAAAUAUUGAUGGAGCUUCUUUUCUUUGCCAGGCACCAUAGAUACAAAAACUAAAAAAAAAAAAAAAGAGACUGUAAUCUUGACCUCAGGAACUACAGAGGAGAUAGACAUCCAAGCAAAUAUGCCAACAAAAUCCCAAGUGGGGUCUAGUAAGGGCCAAAAAAAAAAAAAAAAAAAAAAAAAAAAAAGAGCUGGUGUAGCCAGAUGGGCAGGGACUCACCUUGCUUCAGGGACAAAUUUGCAGUGGUGAUGAAUUCCUUUCAUUCUUAGCUUUCCUCCUAUUACUUCCCUGAUUUAUUUUACUUACAAAUGACACGUCUAAAUGGCAGAGACCUGAAGUUCUCUUGAUGGGGUGCUGAGAUGUUCAGAAGGGAGGUAUCGGCAAGAAUCUUCUGUUCCAUAUGCAACAUCUUCUGGCAGCCUUGUCCUUUUUCUGUCCUUGACGACUACAAUAACAAACAGCUGUUGCCGAGGCAUUGCUGUUGACGUGUUACCUUUGAAACCUCCCUCCUGUUAUGGAAUAAGCCUCUUCCAGAUCAUGGCUCAUUAUCAUCUAGUCUGACAAGCAGCCUUGUUGCCACGGAGACCCAAAGGGAUCAGGCGUGGCAUUUGCCUGCAUCAUCACCCCCUCCAGGGGAACUAUAAGGACUCUUCUGUGCGUCAUGCGUGGCUGUCCUGGGACUGGCUGCCACCAGACUUUUCCUGCGGGUAAAACCUAAACAAAUGAUCAGCUGCAGAUAAUAUCAAGACCUCUGUUUGAUAUGUUAAUAGUGACAGCCAGAUUUCCACAAUUAACAACGAGGUGGGAAGAAAACACUGUAGUCACCAGACUUGGGAGGAGAGGGUUUGUAUUCACAUAAACACAACCUCACGUCACUGCUUGCCACCACAAAGGGCUCUGUUCACUGUUUUGUUCUCAAAGAUCAUCCUUGCGCUCAUCCUCUGAUCUUGAAUUUCUACAUAACUUUCUCAGUUUAUAUGCCCUGUGGCAAGUGCAGCAAGCACUGUUUCCUGUUUCUAAACUUGUAGAAAAUCAUCCAUACAUCUUACAGUUGUCAGUUUUAACCAGAUAACAGUGGCACUUUGUUGCUGCUUUUUUAUCUUUAGCUUAGGUUAACAGGACCCUGGAAGUAAAGUUGUUGAUUUAUUCAAUAGAGUAUUCUCAAUUAAUUUGGCUAGAUUUCUACAUGAUUCAAAAUCUAAAAAAGUAGAAAUGCAUGCUUACAUGUCUAAGGCCUGAAAAAUUGGUAGUGACAUCCCAAAAUAAAUGAAGGUUUUAAAACAAUAAAUGAUCUCUUUUUUUUUUUUUGCUUCUGUGCUUGGGGAGAAGCAAUGAAGGAAACAACAAUGUUGCUUUAAGGAGUGAGGACCCCAAAAAUAAGAAUAUAUAAUUAUGACAGAUAGGGCAUAGGGCGUUGUUCAGAAUUGAUGGGGCUGGUGCACACACAAACAUUUUAAUAGUUCUAAUACUUUGUGUACACUCUUGCGAUGAAGUGAUGACUUCAUUAAUUGAUUGAAUAAUAUUUAUGCAAUGCUACUAUGUGCUAGCUAUAGAACUAAGCUUAGUCUCUUAAGAUCUUAACAUUCUGAAACUAUUAAAAUGUAUAAUCACCAUUUGUAAAAGUAAAUAUACUAAUCUAAUAAUUUGGAAUGUACAUUACAGUAAAAAAAAAGCAGGGGAACAUCCUGUAAAAUGUCACUCAGAGAUAACCACCACUUACAGAGUGAAGUAUAUUCCUGCUUUUUGCGGAUAGUGUGUGCGUAUAUAUGUUUAAGCAAAGCUAACAAUAUACUAUUUUUAUAAUUGGCAUUUACUUUUUCUUUUGCUUAACUUUAUAUCAUAACCUCUUUCCCACAUCAUUACAAACUCUUCAUAAAUAAUCUUACAAAUGGUUAUGUAAUAUUUAUCUUAUUUGUAACACAUACUAUCUUCUUUUUUUCAUCAACACACUGCAUGGAUAACAGAUUUAUUUUUUAAGUCAAAAAUCUUUCUUGGCUACACUAACCAAUGUUUUUGGUUUUUGUUUUGUUUUGUUUUGUUUUGAGACAGAGUCUCACUCUGUCUCCCAGGCUGGAGUGCAGUGGUGUGACCUCGGCUCACUGCAACCUCCGCCUCCUGGGUUGAAGCGAUUCUUCUGCCUCAGCCUCGCAAGUAGCUGGGAUUACAGGCAUGUGUCACCAUGCCUGGCUAAUUUUUGUAUUUUUAGUAGAGAUGGGGUUUCACCAUGUUGAUCAGGCUGGUCUCAAACUCCUGACCUCAAGUGAUCCACCCUCCACGGCCUCCCAGAGUGCUGGGAUUAUAGGUGUGAACCACCACGCCUGGCCACUAACCAAUGUUCCUUAGAAAAGUUAACCUCAUUUGUGUUUGGGGAUGUCACUCCCGUUCUCUUGGAGAUACAAGUGCACACACACCACAACCCUUGGAGCCUGACAGGCCCAGACCAUAGAUGUGUGUCCAACACGAUGACCUUUCCUCAUUCCCUUGUGGGUCCUCCUGAUGGGCCAGGUCUUCAUGUUUUUACUGAUGAAUUCAAGACCCAGCACUUCGGAUUCAGUGUCCCUCAACACUGCCACAUAGCCAUCCUCCCAUGUGCUUCCUGGUGGUGGGUCACUCCCUAACACCAUUAUGAGCACCUAAUAUGUGUCAAACACUGAUCUAGAACAGAAACCAAACACAAGACAAAUAAAAUUCUUUUUUUUUUUUUUUUGAGAGAGAGUCUCGCUCUGUCACCCAGGCUGGAGUGCAGUGGUGCAAUCUUGGCUCACUACUACAACCUCCGCCUGCCAGGCUCAAGAAAUCCUCUCACAUCAGCCUCCCAAGUAGCUGGGACCACAGAUGUGCACCACCAUGUCCAACUAAAUUUUUGUACUUUUGGUAGAGAUGGGAUUUCACCACAUUGGCCAGGCUGGUCUCGAACUCCUGGCCUAGGGUGAUCCUCGGCCUCCCAAAGUGCUGGGAUUACAGGUGUGAGCCACCACACCCAUCUGCAAGGCAGAUAUAAUUCUUACCCUUGCAGAACUUACAGUCUUGGAGGAGAUAAGCAUUUAAUCAAGUAAUUAUGACAUUUGCUACAAGAGUUCAUAGCAGAGGGGACUUAACCAGCGUAGGUGACAUUUAAACUAAAAAUGUGAAAAACCUGUGAAAUUAAUCAGAAGAAGAGGAGGAAAGCAACUCCACUGUGUUUCCUGCUAGGUCUCAUCUUCCCAACAGAUGCUUGGACUCUCUUCAUCGCCACUUUGAAAUAUGAGGACACUCUUAAUUUAGGUCAAAUUUUUUUCCUCCUGGACUUGCAAUAUGUUGUUUCCUUUUUCUGGAACACAUUAUGAUACUUCCUUGAAACGGCAAGAUUCUUUUAUUCCCAUUGUUUCUGCUUCUUGAAGUAUUAAUCAGAAUAUUUCAUCUGCCAUCCCCUUCUGCUUACUUUCACAUAGUUUUCAGGAGUUAGUUUAAAUGUCACCCCCCUCUGGUUAGGUGCCUCUGCUAUGCAUUCCUGUAACAAGUGUAAUAAUUACUUAAUUCAAUGUAUAUCUCCUCCCAACCUGCAGUUCCUCCCAGUAUUGGAAGGAUAAGAAUCAUAACUGGUUUGUGUUUGGUGUCUGUUCUAGCUCAUUGUUUGACACAUAUUAGGUGCUCAAAAAAUAUUGAAAUGAAUAGUAGGCAUUUAGGGUGUUCCGUUUUUUUUUUAAUAAGCAAUGAUGAAAUGAACAUCUUUUAUGCAUGAUGUCCAUAUUUUGGAAUUUUUAAAUUACUUUCUGAUGAUAAGUUCUUGGAAGCAGAAUUACUAGGUCAAAGGAUACAAACCCUUAGAGUCCUCUUGGGAAACAGCACAUUGCUUUCCAGAAAGUUUUAUACUCCUGCAAGCAGUUUAUGAGAUUUCCUGUUUCAUUGUGCUCUUAUCAACAUGAUUAGGCAAAGAAAUUAUUUUUGCUAACUUGAUAGUAAGAAAAAUUACUCUACUACUGUUUCAAUUUUGCCUUUGUUAAGUAACAAGAUGAACAUUUUCCAUCUGUUUUUUAUUUAUUUAUAUUUGCUGUAUUGUGAGUUGUCUUGUGUCCUUUGUCCAUUUCUAUUCUGAAAUCUUCAUGUUUUUCGAAUCAAUUUUUAUAAGCUCUAUGUUUCAGAAGAUAUUAGAUGAUUAUCUCUUAUUUUUUACUGUAGAUCUUUCUAUGUAGAUGUUUGUAUUUUAGUCUGUGCCCUUCUUAAUGUUCAGAAGUUUACCAUUUUUCUGUGGUCAGGUCUGUUAUCAUUUCCCAUGGGAUUUCUUACAUGACAAACUCACAGUGCUCUUCAACAGCAGUGAUUAAAUA